UUUCCUUAGUGAUCUCUCCUGGUCCCUCACCCCAUGUUCUCCACUCAUCAGACCCACUGGUGAUUAGAUGCUCAGCAGAAGUGAUUACGCAGCCUUUGACACCUUGCAUCCCCUGCUGCCUGGAUUUCAAAGAGAAAAGCAACUUCUGGAUUACCUCAAAUGCACUGGCAACAUAAGUAGCAACAGACUUCCAGAUGAAGAAGCUUGUGUGGAACAUGUUAAAUGAAAUCCUCAGAAAUGUAGAACACAGAAGAGGUCAGCAAAGGCAAAGCAGUGCUGUUGCCCUGCCUCACAAGGAGCUGAGAGAUGGAGUGGCAUUCCCGUGGCUGUAUCUGUGUCCUGGCUCUGACUGAGGCAAUGGCUUCAAUGUGGGUUAGUCCAGCUA